rnacentral:lncRNA from 1 species
UUUUUUAUAUAUAAUGUAAGGAAUAUGACAUUUUAAAUUUUCACUCAUACUUAAAUACCCAUCUAUAUUCCCUCAAAAAAAAAAACUCACCUAUUUGCGUAAACUAAAAUAUAAUUUGAAGGGGGCUACAGUCGAAAAUUUCCAACUACAAAAUUGCCAAGAACAAAAGUUUUCUUGAAAGAUAUUAAAUUAUUAGAUUAAAUAUAAUUUUUUUUGGCUCGAAGUGCUUAAG